rnacentral:rRNA from 1 species
GACGAACGCUGGCGGCGUGCCUAAUACAUGCAAGUCGAGCGCUGAAGGAGGGUGCGUGUACCAACUGGAUGGGCAGCGAACGGGUGAGUAACGCGUGGGUAAGCUGCCUUUGAGCGGUGGACAACAUCGGGAAACGAAUGCUAAUACCGCAUAAAAACUUUAAACAGAGGAUUUAAGGGUGAAAGAGGCAUUGGCAGCACUCAAGGAUGAUCCCGGGUUUUAUUAGCUAGUUGGUGAGGUAAAGGCUCACCAAGGGAGUGAUACAUAGCCUAGCCGAGAGGGUGGAUCGCCACAAUGGGAACGGGACAACGCCCAAACUUCUUAGGGAGGGAGCAAUAGGGGAUCUUCGGCCAUGGGCGAAAGUCUGACCGCGCAACGCCGGGUGAGUGAAGAAGGUUUUCGGAUCGGAAAAGUCUGUUGGUAGGGAAGAACGUUCGUGAGAGUGGAACGCUGAUCAAGUGACGGUAACUACACAGAAAGCGACGGCUAACUACGUG